UAUAGUAAAAAUACAUCAUUUAUACGUUAUCGCAUGAAAUAUUUACUAAUUAUUUAUUAAUUCCCAUUAGAUAAUCAUUGAUUUAACUUAAAAAAGUAAAAUAUUACGCAAUUCAUUUCAUGCGUCUAUUUAAUGGGUUUCUAAAAAAAAUAUGUUAUAAGAAUCGAAUAAUAAAAUACUAAAAAAAAUGUUUUGAAUUAAUGUCGAAAAAUAUUUUUGAUCGUUAAUUCUAACCCUCAAAUACUACAGCCGUACAUAGGAGAAAUAUCGUUCCAAGGUAGCCAAGGUAGAGCAUAUCUUUUCAAUUCCGUCGUGAACGUUGGAUGUGGACCGGCAGAAGAAAGGAUAUUGUUGACCGGCUUGCACGCUGUUGCUGAUAUCUAUUGUGAAUGCUGUAAGACCACUCUUGGUUGGAAAUAUGUGAGUCAAUAAUUAGGGUCCGGAUUUAAAUGCAUUUAUAAAUUUUCAUUUAGCCAUUUUCAAGAAACCCAAGUUCAUGCAACCUCGUCGUACGAAUUUUCCUAGAAUAUUUUUUUAUUUUUAGGUAGAUGAUCCUCUUCUAAACCUCCCAAAACUGAACCUAAACAUUAUUAAAUUUUUAAGCAAAUCAAUUAAAAACAUUCUUCAUUUAACUUGAUUUUUUAUUAAAAAAAAAAACAACCCCGGGAAAUUCAUACGUUAGAAAAUGUUUGUCAAACUUUUUAUAAUGUGUAAUGUAUUCAAAUAUAUCACUGCUAUUUGUAUUAUUUUGUCUCAAAUCGGAUCGCAUUUGACAUGUAAAAUAUGUUUUGUAAUACAUUUUUCAUUGAACUUUCUAUUUUAACAACGAAAUAAUCAAUAUAAAUUAGAAAGAAAAAUAUGUUGCUAUUGUGAUAUUUAAGAAAAAUACCGAUAAUACGUUUUACGAUGAAUGUACACCCAAAGAAAAACCUCAAUCAAAAUAGAAAGAGAAAUUUUAUCAAGGGUUUAUGAUAAUGUUUUAUUAAUACGAACAAA